UGGGGGAUAUUGCGCAAUGGGGGCAACCCUGACGCAGCAACGCCGCGUGAAGGAUGAAGGUUUUCGGAUUGUAAACUUCUUUUAUUAAGGACGAAAAAUGACGGUACUUAAUGAAUAAGCUCCGGCUAACUACGUGCCAGCAGCCGCGGUAAUACGUAGGGAGCAAGCGUUGUCCGGAUUUACUGGGCGUAAAGGGUGCGUAGGCGGCUUUGCAAGUCAGAUGUGAAAUCUAUGGGCUCAACCCAUAAACUGCAUUUGAAACUGUAGAGCUUGAGUGAAGUAGAGGCAGGCGGAAUUCCCCGUGUAGCGGUGAAAUGCGUAGAGAUGGGGAGGAACACCAGUGGCGAAGGCGGCCUGCUGGGCUUUAACUGACGCUGAGGCACGAAAGCGUGGGUAGCAAACAGGAUUAGAUACCCUGGUAGUCCACGCUGUAAACGAUGAUUACUAGGUGUGGGGGGUCUGACCCCUUCCGUGCCGGAGUUAACACAAUAAGUAAUCCACCUGGGGAGUACGGCCGCAAGGUUGAAACUCAAAGGAAUUGACGGGGGCCCGCACAAGCAGUGGAGUAUGUGGUUUAAUUCGAAGCAACGCGAAGAACCUUACCAGGUCUUGACAUCCAACUAACGAAGUAGAGAUACAUUAGGUGCCCUUCGGGGAAAGUUGAGACAGGUGGUGCAUGGUUGUCGUCAGCUCGUGUCGUGAGAUGUUGGGUUAAGUCCCGCAACGAGCGCAACCCUUGCUAUUAGUUGCUACGCAAGAGCACUCUAAUAGGACUGCCGUUGACAAAACGGAGGAAGGUGGGGACGACGUCAAAUCAUCAUGCCCCUUAUGACCUGGGCUACACACGUACUACAAUGGAUGUUAACAGAGGGAAGCAAGACAGCGAUGUGGAGCAAACCCCUAAAAACAUUCUCAGUUCAGAUUGCAGGCUGCAACCCGCCUGCAUGAAGAUGGAAUUGCUAGUAAUCGCGGAUCAGCAUGCCGCGGUGAAUACGUUCCC
rnacentral:rRNA from 1 species